GCCCGGGUGGUGAAAUUGGUAGACACAAGGGACUUAAAAUCCCUUAGCCUUCACGCUGUGCGGGUUCAAGUCCCGCUCCGGGUACCA
rnacentral:tRNA from 1 species